UACGGGGGGGGCAAGCGUUGUUCGGAAUUACUGGGCGUAAAGGGCUUGUAGGUGGCCAACUAAGUCAGACGUGAAAUCCCUCGGCUUAACCGGGGAACUGCGUCUGAUACUGGAUGGCUAGAGUGUGGGAGAGGGAUGCGGAAUUCCAGGUGUAGCGGUGAAAUGCGUAGAUAUCUGGAGGAACACCGGUGGCGAAGGCGGCGUCCUGGACCAACACUGACACUGAUGAGCGAAAGCCAGGGGAGCAAACGGGG
rnacentral:rRNA from 1 species